AUUGAACGCUGGCGGAAUGCUUUACACAUGCAAGUCGAACGGCAGCACGGACUUCGGUCUGGUGGCGAGUGGCGAACGGGUGAGUAAUGUAUCGGAACGUGCCCAGUCGUGGGGGAUAACGUAGUGAAAAUUACGCUAAUACCGCAUACGAUCUAUGGAUGAAAGCGGGGGAUCGCAAGACCUCGCGCGAUUGGAGCGGCCGAUAUCAGAUUAGGUAGUUGGUGGGGUAAAGGCCCACCAAGCCAACGAUCUGUAGCUGGUCUGAGAGGACGACCAGCCACACUGGAACUGAGACACGGUCCAGACUCCUACGGGAGGCAGCAGUGGGGAAUUUUGGACAAUGGGCGAAAGCCUGAUCCAGCCAUUCCGCGUGCAGGAUGAAGGCCCUCGGGUUGUAAACUGCUUUUGUACAGAACGAAAAGGUUUCUACUAAUACUAGGAGCUCAUGACGGUACUGUAAGAAUAGGCACCGGCUAACUACGUGACAGCAGCCGCGGUAA
rnacentral:rRNA from 1 species